UACGAAGGGGGCUAGCGUUGCUCGGAAUCACUGGGCGUAAAGGGUGCGUAGGCGGGUCUUUAAGUCAGGGGUGAAAUCCUGGAGCUCAACUCCAGAACUGCCUUUGAUACUGAAGAUCUUGAGUUCGGGAGAGGUGAGUGGAACUGCGAGUGUAGAGGUGAAAUUCGUAGAUAUUCGCAAGAACACCAGUGGCGAAGGCGGCUCACUGGCCCGAUACUGACGCUGAGGCACGAAAGCGUGGGGAGACAAACGGGAUUCAAGACC
rnacentral:rRNA from 1 species